GAUGAACGCUGGCGGCGUGCCUAAUCCAUGCAAGUCGAGCGAAUGGAUUAAGAGCUUGCUCUUAUGAAGUUAGCGGCGGACGGGUGAGUAACACGUGGGUAACCUGCCCAUAAGACUGGGAUAACUCCGGGAAACCGGGGCUAAUACCGGAUAACAUUUUGAACCGCAUGGUUCGAAAUUGAAAGGCGGCUUCGGCUGUCACUUAUGGAUGGACCAGCGUCGCAUUAGCUAGUUGGUGAGGUAACGGCUCACCAAGGCAACGAUGCGUAGCCGACCUGAGAGGGUGAUCGGCCACACUGGGACUGAGACACGGCCCAGACUCCUACGGGAGGCAGCAGUAGGGAAUCUUCCGCAAUGGACGAAAGUCUGACGGAGCAACGCCGCGUGAGUGAUGAAGGCUUUCGGGUCGUAAAACUCUGUUGUUAGGGAAGAGCAAGUGCUAGUUGAAUAAGCUGGCACCUUGACGGUACCUAACCAGAAAGCCACGGCUAACUACGUGCCAGCCGCCGCAGUAA
rnacentral:rRNA from 1 species